AUAAUGGGUCAGCGACUUAUAUUCUGUAGCAAGGUUAACCGAAUAGGGGAGCCGAAGGGAAACCGAGUCUUAACUGGGCGUUAAGUUGCAGGGUAUAGACCCGAAACCCGGUGAUCUAGCCAUGGGCAGGUUGAAGGUUGGGUAACACUAACUGGAGGACCGAACCGACUAAUGUUGAAAAAUUAGCGGAUGACUUGUGGCUGGGGGUGAAAGGCCAAUCAAACCGGGAGAUAGCUGGUUCUCCCCGAAAGCUAUUUAGGUAGCGCCUCGUGAAUUCAUCUCCGGGGGUAGAGCACUGUUUCGGCAAGGGGGUCAUCCCGACUUACCAACCCGAUGCAAACUGCGAAUACCGGAGAAUGUUAUCACGGGAGACACACGGCGGGUGCUAACGUCCGUCGUGAAGAGGGAAACAACCCAGACCGCCAGCUAAGGUCCCAAAGUCAUGGUUAAGUGGGAAACGAUGUGGGAAGGCCCAGACAGCCAGGAUGUUGGCUUAGAAGCAGCCAUCAUUUAAAGAAAGCGUAAUAGCUCACUGGUCGAGUCGGCCUGCGCGGAAGAUGUAACGGGGCUAAACCAUGCACCGAAGCUGCGGCAGCGACGCUGAUGCGUUGUUGGGUAGGGGAGCGUUCUGUAAGCCUGUGAAGGUGUACUGUGAGGUAUGCUGGAGGUAUCAGAAGUGCGAAUGCUGACAUAAGUAACGAUAAAGCGGGUGAAAAGCCCGCUCGCCGGAAGACCAAGGGUUCCUGUCCAACGUUAAUCGGGGCAGGGUGAGUCGACCCCUAAGGCGAGGCCGAAAGGCGUAGUCGAUGGGAAACAGGUUAAUAUUCCUGUACUUGGUGUUACUGCGAAGGGGGGACGGAGAAGGCUAUGUUGGCCGGGCGACGGUUGUCCCGGUUUAAGCGUGUAGGCUGGUUUUCCAGGCAAAUCCGGAAAAUCAAGGCUGAGGCGUGAUGACGAGGCACUACGGUGCUGAAGCAACAAAUGCCCUGCUUCCAGGAAAAGCCUCUAAGCAUCAGGUAACAUCAAAUCGUACCCCAAACCGACACAGGUGGUCAGGUAGAGAAUACCAAGGCGCUUGAGAGAACUCGGGUGAAGGAACUAGGCAAAAUGGUGCCGUAACUUCGGGAGAAGGCACGCUGAUAUGUAGGUGAAG
rnacentral:rRNA from 1 species